rnacentral:misc_RNA from 1 species
UAAAAUCUCAAGCUCAGCUUGGUGUUGGGUGCCACCGGCAUGGUGCACCCUAAAAUCAGUGGCGGUGCCAUCUGGCUUCAAGCGUAGUAAUUCUUCUCGCUCCGGAGUCUAGGUGGUUGCUUGCCAAAACCCAAUACUUUUUCUCAA